CGUCCGCCGGCGACCGGCGCACGGGUGAGUAACACGUAUGCAACCUGGCCGCCACAGGGGGAUAACCCGCGGAAACGCGGCCUAAUACCCCGUGACGCCACCGGAGGGCAUCCUCCGGUGGCCAAAGGAGCGAUCCGGUGGCGGAUGGGCAUGCGGCGCAUUAGCUAGACGGCGGGGUGACGGCCCACCGUGGCGACGAUGCGUAGGGGUUCUGAGAGGAAGGCCCCCCACACUGGGACUGAGACACGGCCCAGACUCCUACGGAAGGCAGCAG
rnacentral:rRNA from 1 species